CGCCAGACUCCUACGGGAGGCAGCAGUGAGGAAUAUUGGUCAAUGGCCGAGAGGCUGAACCAGCCAAGUCGCGUGAGGGAAGACGGCCCUACGGGUUGUAAACCUCUUUUGUCGGGGAGCAAAGAGAGUCACGUGUGACUCAUUGAGAGUACCCGAAGAAAAAGCAUCGGCUAACUCCGUGCCAGCAGCCGCGGUAAUACGGAGGAUGCGAGCGUUAUCCGGAUUUAUUGGGUUUAAAGGGUGCGUAGGCGGACUGGAAAGGAGGGGGAGAAAGUGGGGGGCCCACCCCCGCGCCCGCCGUUGAAACUGACGGUCUUGAGUGGGCGAGAAGUAUGCGGAAUGCGUGGUGUAGCGGUGAAAUGCAUAGAUAUCACGCAGAACUCCGAUUGCGAAGGCAGCAUACCGGCGCCCAACUGACGCUGAAGCACGAAAGCGUGGGUAUCGAACAGGAUUAGAUACCCCAGUA
rnacentral:rRNA from 1 species